AGACAGAAACGUAAAUUUUUCAUUAAACAAAAAUAAAAUACAUUAGGUAGGUAUUUGGAAUAUAAAUUAAAAUAAAAAUAAAAAUACACACGCUAAAUGAAAAAACAUAACAUUAUUAUUAUUAUUAUUAUUAUCAUCAUCAUCAUCAUCACCACUAUUAUUAUUCUUAUUAUUGCCAAUCGUCAACCGGUAGCAGCAGGGCCCUCCUCAGCCUGCGAAUCUCACAGAACAUCCUUGCUCUCACGGCGCCCAACUUCCACUGCAGGUCAUGAACCUUCCUUCGAAGUUCCCACAUAGCGUGUCGCAGAAAAGCGACGUCCCAAAUAGGACAUAGCU
rnacentral:lncRNA from 1 species